rnacentral:rRNA from 1 species
AGAACGAACGCUGGCGGCAGGCUUAACACAUGCAAGUCGAACGCCGUAGCAAUACGGAGUGGCAGACGGGUGAGUAACGCGUGGGAACAUACCCUUCGGUUCGGAAUAACUCAGGGAAACUUGAGCUAAUACCGGAUACGUCCGAGGUUUUAAUCGACCUUGGAGAAAGAUUUAUCGCCGGAGGAUUGGCCCGCGUCUGAUUAGCUUGUUGGUGAGGUAAUGGCUCACCAAGGCGACGAUCAGUAGCUGGUCUGAGAGGAUGAUCAGCCACAUUGGGACUGAGACACGGCCCAAACUCCUACGGGAGGCAGCAGUGGGGAAUAUUGGACAAUGGGCGAAAGCCUGAUCCAGCCAUGCCGCGUGAGUGAUGAAGGCCUUAGGGUUGUAAAGCUCUUUUACCCGGAGAUAAUGACGGUACCGGAGAAUAAGCCCGGCUAACUUCGUGCCAGCAGCCGC